rnacentral:misc_RNA from 1 species
GAUGAAGAACGUAGCGAAAUGCGAUAAGUAAUGUGAAUUGCAGAAUUCAGUGAAUCAUCGAAUCUUUGAACGCACAUUGCGCCCGCCAGUAUUCUGGCGGGCAUGCCUGUUCGAGCGUCAUUACAACCCUCAGGCCCCCGGGCCUGGCGUUGGGGAUCGGCGGAAGCCCCCUGUGGGCACACGCCGUCCCUCAAAUACAGUGGCGGUCCCGCCGCAGCUUCCAUUGCGUAGUAGCUAACACCUCGCAACUGGAGAGCGGCGCGGCCAUGCCGUAAAACACCCAACUUCUGAACGUUGACCUCGAAUCAGGUAGGAAUACCCGCUGAACUUAAGCAUAUCAAUAAGCGGAGGA